UACGUAGGGGGCAAGCGUUGUCCGGAAUCAUUGGGCGUAAAGAGCGUGUAGGCGGCCCGAUAAGUCCGCUGUGAAAGUCCAGGGCUCAACCCUGGGAUGCCGGUGGAUACUGUCGGGCUCGAAUCCGGAAGAGGUGAGUGGAAUUCCUGGUGUAGCGGUGAAAUGCGCAGAUAUCAGGAGGAACACCAAUGGCGAAGGCAGCACUCUGGGACGUGACUGACGCUGAGACGCGAAAGCGUGGGGAGCAAACAGG
rnacentral:rRNA from 1 species